UUGCUAAUGGUUUUAGAUAUAUAUUGUUUAUUAUUUUUAGGACACUUCUAUUCCUAUACUUUCUAGUAUUUUCAAUAGAAAUGGGUGUUGCAUUUUAUCAAAGGCUUUUUCUGCAUCUAUUGAGAUAAUCAUGUGAUUUUUGUCGGUUUGCUUGUUAAUAUGGUCAAUUAUGUGGAUGGUUUUCCUAAUAUUGAACCAUCCUUGCAUUCCUGGUAUAAAUCCUACCUGGGGAAGACCAUUUAUUCUUAAAUAUCUCUUAGACCACUAAUGUAGCCUUUCAAAAUAGCAGUUACUUAAGAUAUCUCUGCCUUCUCAAAACUAGCCAGUAAAUACAAAUGGAGAAUAGAGUGAGGAGUGAAACAAAUUCAGAACAUUUCCAAAUACCAAUUGAUGAGAAUGAGAAACAACUAUAAAAGCCAUCUUGGUGUCUCUUUUUCUGUCCUCUUGGUAAAAAUCUGAUGGUGCUGACUUCCUAAGCAAUAGCUCAGAGGGGGAAAAAGUUGAGCUAUGGAAACAAGACUACACAGAAAAAGUCAGAUGCAAAUCUUAAUGAGGAGAUUUUAAUAAAUACCACUGUCUUUUUGGCAGCCACCAACAUAUGACAGCCAGGUGAAUGCCAAACAUUUUAUCUGUAUAUAACCCAGUCGUGAUCCUUUGCCUGGCGCCUGAUACUUGAGCCAAGUCAGGAGGAAGUUAUCAGUAGCACAAAGUUCCCAGGCUGUGUUCUGGACCACAAUGAGAAAGCCCAGUGGGAGCCCACAAAUUUAGGCAGCACCAGAUACUAAUUCUUAUGAGUUGUAGAAAAGAAUUGGUAGGGAUCCAGAGCAAACUUGGUUUCUUGAUUAGUUUUCCAGAUGUAGAAACUAAGCAAUGAUUGGUUAUUCUUUCUUAAGUCAAUUGACUGGUGAAAGGACCAGUUUUUGACCAGAAUCUUCAAGUGGACAAUAUUAAUGGAUAUUAUCAAGGAGAAUAGUUUGCAUUUAGAAAAGUUUGCCAGUCCUCACUCCCCCAUUGACCAAUGUGUCUAGUGUUGAGCUUAAGUAUCUUUUUCUAUAUGAGUAUUGCUUAUAUCUACAUUCAUCAUGUAAAUUUGAAAGAAGCUAGGGAGAAGCAUGGAGUUGUGGGGCGGGAGACUGAACAACAGAGUAUUACUCAGAGAAGGAAAAUAUUCCCUUUUUCCUGAGCCUUUCCUGAUGAGGUAAUUGUUUUUAGACAGCCAUGUGACUAAUGUACAAAGGCUCAAAGUUAGUGCCUUGUCUCACACUCUACUGCUAACACUUUUUCAGAAAAAUAAGUCUCUAAAUCUAGGUUGAAUAAUGCCAAACUUAUAGUAGCAAAAUACUGCUAUUUCAAAUUAAGUUUUUAAUUAAAAAAAAUUAAUGCCCAUCUGUUCAAGAGAGUAGCCUAUUUGAAAAGAGAAAAUAAAACAAGUCUUGGGGAAAUAAAACUUUUUUUUUUCGUUUUACAUGUGUUUGAAUUACAGUUAACUAACCCUGACCAAAAUAUGGACUCUAAUUUAUGGAGAGGGAAGUUGGGAGAAUAUAUUUUUACAUCUUUUAAAAACAAGUUGCCCAGAAAUUACAGCAUUUGGGAUAUCAUGACAGUAAAUGAGGUUUGAUAUUGCUCUCAAGUGGCUAGAAAAUUUGGCAGUGUUAUAGGGCAAAGGAGGAGGCAAAUGAUUUAGGCCAGAGAUGUUCACCCACAAGAGAGCUGAGCAAUGAACUAGAAUGGUACAGGAAAAUCAUCAUUCUUCCUGAGUUGGCUUUGGCUACGGCUGUGGCACACCCUCUGUGAUGGCACCACUCCCUCACUUCCAAGUCAGCCCAUGAAAUAGUGGGAAAAGAGCCAGGAUCUGAAACUCCUCUUGCAGGCAUUAGACUCAGCCUUCCAGUAUGUCAACUAUCUAGUAAGGAAAGGCUGUGCACUUGAAGAUUUGGAAAUAUUAAUGAGCUGGUGAUUGCACUGAUGGACCCCCACUACACUAUUGAGGACUUCAAAGUGGCCCACCCUCAGGACCCUCAUCACCCAUCUGAGAAGCCUGUCAUCCAGUGCUACAAGUGUGGAGAGCCAUGCAAGGGUGAAGUGCUCCGGGUUCAAGCCAGGCAUUUCCACAUCAAAUGCUUCACUUGCAAAGUAUGUGGCUGUGACCUGGCUCAAGGAGGCUUCUUCAUAAAGAACGGAGAAUACCUCUGCACCCUGGAUUACCAACGAAUGUAUGGAACGCGCUGUAAUGGCUGUGGGGAAUUUGUGGAGGGGGAGGUGGUGACAGCUCUUGGGAAGACCUACCACCCUAACUGCUUUGCCUGUACUGUCUGCAAACGCCCAUUUCCACCUGGAGACCGAGUUACCUUCAAUGGAAGGGACUGUCUUUGUCAACUCUGUGCUCAGCCAAUGUCUUCCAGCCAUAAAGAGGUCUCAAGCUCCAGCAAUUGUGCUGGCUGUGGCAGAGACAUAAAGAAUGGACAAGCACUGCUGGCUUUGGAUAAGCAGUGGCACCUGGGGUGCUUUAAGUGCAAAUCCUGCGGAAAAGUCCUCACCGGGGAAUACAUCAGCAAGGAUGGAGCUCCUUACUGUGAAAAGGACUAUCAAGGGCUCUUUGGUGUCAAAUGUGAAGCUUGUCGCCAGUUUAUCACAGGGAAGGUUUUAGAGGCAGGUGAUAAACAUUACCAUCCAAGCUGUGCGCGAUGCAGCAGGUGCAACCAAAUGUUCACAGAAGGAGAGGAAAUGUAUCUUCAAGGUUCUACCGUUUGGCAUCCCGACUGUAAGCAGUCUACGAAGACAGAAGAAAAGCUCCGGCAGCCUCCAAAUAUACCACGUUCCUCAUCUGAAUUCUUUUAUCCUAAAAGUCUGAUUCGCCGAACACGACGCUCUCCACAGCUAUUACCACCACCUUGUCUAGUGAACUUCAACAAAAACCAAAGGCAGCCAACAAGGACAUCUUCUGAAAGUAUUUAUUCCAGACCAGGAUCAAGUAUCCCUGGAUCACCAGGCCAUACCAUCUAUGCAAAAGUUGACAAUGAGAUCCUAGACUACAAGGAUUUAGCAGCCAUUCCCAAGGUCAAGGCAAUUUAUGACAUUGAACGUCCAGAUCUUAUUACUUAUGAGCCAUUCUACUCUUCAGGCUAUGAGGACAAACAGGAGAGGCAGAGCCUUGGAGAGUCUCCAAGGACUCUGUCUCCCACGCCAUCGGCAGAAGGAUACCAGGAUGUUCGAGAUCGAAUGAUUCAUCGAUCAACUAGUCAGGGCUCCAUUAACUCUCCUGUAUACAGCCGCCAUAGUUACACCCCAACAAUGUCACGUUCUCCACAGCAUUUCCACAGACCUGAGCUGCUGUCUCCUGGUGUGCAGCGGUUGUCACACCUGCGCACUAGCAGUCUCAGCUCCACCCACAAUGACUCCCGCCCCAACUCCCCAUUCCGACACCACUUCAUUCCCCAUAUCAAAGGCAAUGAGCCAUCCAGCGGCCGGAACUCCCCUCUCCCUUAUCGGCCAGACAGCCGCCCUCUAACUCCAACUUACGCUCAGGCCCCUAAACAUUUCCAUGUUCCAGAUCAAGGGAUCAACAUAUACCGAAAACCACCCAUCUACAAACAACAUGAUCCAGCUGCCUUGGCAGCACAGAGCAAGUCUUCAGAGGAUAUCAUCAAGUCCUCCAAGUUCCCAGCAGCCCAUGCUCCAGACCCCAACGAGAUACCAAAGAUUGAGACGGAACACUGGCCAGGUCCCCCCUCACUUGCCGCCGUAGGGACUGACAUGAGGCGCAGAUCAAGUGGCCGUGAGGAAGAUGAGGAGGAGCUUCAGAGACGCCGACAACUUCAAGAAGAACAACUGUUGAAGCUCAACUCAGGUCUGGGGCAAUUGAUUCUAAAAGAAGAAAUGGAAAAAGAAACCCGAGAAAGGACUUCUCUUUCAGCCAGUCGCUAUGAUUCUCCACUUAAUUCAUCUCCACAUGCGUCAUCCAAAACCUCCUCCCUCCCUGGUUAUGGGAGAAAUGGCCUUCACCGGCCUGUUUCUACAGAUUUUGCCCAAUACAAUAGCUAUGGUGAUGUCAGUGGUGGGAUUCGAGAUUUCCAGGUAGAGUGUGUUUUUUCUUCCACUUUGACAACAGAAACACAUCAGCUAUCUUCCUAUCCAAUUGUGAAAUGGUCCUCCAUGAAACGGUUUUUGUUAAUGAAAUGUUAUUUUCUAUUCAUCUAUGUGUUUGAGCCUAAUCUUCAGUUUGUAUUGGCAAGAGUUAGUUGUAUAUGAUGCUAUCAUCUGUCUAGGUGACUCAUCACCUAUCAGACAGACUGAAGUAAGGCUUAUGUAAGUCUCUUCCUUUGGAAAGUCCCUUCUAAUGCUAAACUAUUCAAGCAAUGAGUAUCUUAACAGUUUUUUUUCUUUUGGUGAUAGAGAUGACUUGGCAUGUGAACUGUGAGCUCCUGGGCUUCCUGUCCAUUGCUUAGUCCCAACUAAAAGAGAAGGACUUCCAUUUUUUAAAUUCUGUGACCCUUUUAUCCAAUAAAUUUUCAGCCUUUCUCCAUUUGUUUCCAUAAACCUAGACAUAACUCAUUCUUUUGUCCAUAAAAGACACCCUUGAAUGAUGCCAUCCAAGAAUGAUGUUGUAUAGUAAAUAAAUAACUAGACUUGGAGUCAGGAAGACAUGGAUUCAAAUCCCACUACAGAUACUAACUGUAUGGCCUUGGGCAGGUUACUUAACCUCUCUAAGCCUCAGUUUCCAAAUUUGUAAAACUAGAGAAUUGGUCCUCAAAUGUCUCUUUUAGCUCUAAAUCUAUGGCCCUAAGAGGUCAUAAUUCAUGGGUCUAAAACCUUGGGAGUCUUCAUAAAUUUUAUACUCAUUGAUUGAUAGGAAGUUGAUAGAAGUAUGAUUCUCAUGGAAGCGUGAGAUGAUUUCUAGUUCCUCCUUUAUGUAAUUUAGACCAUGUUGAUGCAUAAUUAAUAAAGAGAAUUAGACCUGGUUUCUUGAAAAGAGAUACCCUUAAAUUCAGGACCUUUGGGCUACUGUUAGUUGGUAUAUAAACAGAAAAAUGGAAGAGACAUACUCAUAGUCCAUUUUUUAAAAUGAUAGCUGAGAUUUUAUUUGUAUAAAUUGGCAGUGAGGUUUUAUACCUGAGAGAGAGAACAUCAGAAGUAAAACUCUUCUGUUUUCACUGUUCCUUGCAUGCUUUUCCACCAGACCCUCCCUGAUGGCCAUGUACCUGGAAUGCGAAUGGACAGAGGUGUGUCCAUGCCUAACAUGUUGGAGCCAAAGAUUUUCCCAUAUGAAAUGCUCAUGGUGACCAACAGAGGGCGGAAUAAAAUACUAAGAGAUGUAGACAGAACCAGGCUUGAGCGCCAUUUAGCACCUGAAGUGUUUCGAGAAAUAUUUGGAAUGUCAAUACAGGAGUUUGACAAGUUACCUCUUUGGAGGCGCAACGACAUGAAGAAAAAAGCAAAACUCUUCUAAGUCACAUCUGCCCAACAAUUUGAAAUGUUGAUGAGGAUAAUGCAUAGGAUAUAGUAUUAUAUAAUGGCCAUGUUUGACUGGAGAACUUAGAAACUACUUCUCCACAGCAACAACAAAAAGGGAAAAAUCUGAUUGAGGCACCCGUGAUCUAACCAUUGGCCCACCAACAUCAACACUUGCCAAGAAGCAAUGGGGUGGAACUUUAUAUGUUCCAAAACUUGACAGUAGUUUUCAUGUGUGAUAUUUUUACAUUAUCUUCUGUACAAGAUUUGAGCCACUUUCUUAUUUGUUUCCCUUUAACUGUUGUCCAAAAAUACAACAGACUAUUGGUCAAGCCAGGAAGUGCCCUUAAGAUGCUGAAUGGGGAAAAAAAGUAGUUUUAAUAACUCCAAAAAAUGAUUAUAUAUAUUACAGUACUGUGGUAAAGAAGAAAAAAACCUGUGUAACAUAUCCAUAUGGUAACAUUGCACAAAUGUUUCUUAAUUGGCCUCAUUUAAAACUGCCCAUUCUGUAACUGUAGGAGAAAUCAGAGAGGUAGGCACCUGAGGAAAAUACUCCACUGGGCUACUUACCAGUGGAAUGAUGUUAAAUGUGUUCCUCACUCUCUGCUGUACACAUUUACUAGGAUGUGGUUGGUGAAUUUCUGUGCUUUUGUAAAGAAUAUUUCUCCCUCCUCACUUUUUUUUUUUGCUUCAGAUAACUUGGCUUCAGCUUAACCUACCCAGCAAAGGCAAGUAGCAAAUCUGAACCCAGCUUGCAAAAAGAGAGGAGGGAAAGCUCUCCUUUAGAUUGGGUUACAUGCUCUUUGGGGACACAUGCCACCAAGUUUCCCCAGGAAGCACACCAUGUUAUGGAAAAUAACACGUCAUGUUAUUCUGUCAAUGCAAAUGUAUUAGCCUGUCAUCAUCCAUCCAUGUGACAAGUUAUAUAUCAUAUCAAACUGAAGGUCAUUUCAACCCUAGGCUAAGAAAGGCUCUUAUUUUCUCUCUUUCAUCUUUGUAGUUGUUUGGAAUUUACUCAAGUUGAAGGUGAGAAAGAGGAAGUUGGCUUUCCUUUGUGCCUCACACUGUUGAGACUUCAUGAUUUGUGGACAAAAAUGACUCAGAAUAAUUUUGAAUAAUGGGCUUCAAAAAUCUUAUUACUGCCUAAAUGCUCUAGUUUUUGACAAAAUUGUCAAUGAAAUAUGCAAGGGGCAAGUCAUUUCUGUGGAAGGAUGAGGUUAUUUUCUUCCAUUCUUCUGUUCCCUUGUGAAAAGUGAGAUGGGAUAUAUAUAUAUUAUAUAUAUAUACAUAUAGCCUUUUCCCCUUUUGUUGGCAUAUGGAAGCCAUUGUACAACAACAAUGCACUGAUAUAAUUACCCAUCUCUUGCUUUGAGCAACACUCAAAUUCUGGCUACAGAGCAAAGAAUUAAGUUAACAUUGUGACUUGACAGAUCAAACCAUUCCCCCUUAAGGUCCAAAGUCUUGUAAGAGGAGAUAAACAUGUAUGUUUCCUAAAAUGGGAAUCCAGGGAUCCCCCCUCACACUUAAAUAGAACUCCAUCUACCUGAUCACCUCACAAUAAAGAGUCAUUCAAUUUAUGUGGCUCAUUACCAUGGAGCUCCCCUAGAACCACCGGUGCAAGAAUCAAAACAUAACUUCCGAGUUCCCUAAAGAAACCAAAGGAGAAGGUAUUUGAGUUGAUCUGCAAGAGUUCCAAUUAUGGCAAGAGAUUGGAGAUUCUACUCUUGACAGGGAUAAGAUUAGCUGUCUGUUAGGCAGCUAAUGAUGGAAACAACUAGGUUUGUUUUCCAAAUGGGCAUAGUAGUAGAGAUACAAGGAGAAAUGCUAUGUGGGUACAACACACUUAAAUGUACUAGGUGCUACAAUAGAGAGUAGAAUCCAUGUAUAGUGGUCUUUUUAUUUACUAAUCUAGUUGAAGCCAUCUAAUUUUAUUGUACCUUCAGACCCAUGGAGUGAAUGUUCAGUGACUGUCCUUACAUAUGUGUCUAUAUUUGUGUGUGUGUGUAUCUUAGAUCUACUAAAUCAUGUAACAAACUGUUCCCGUGCUAGGCAUACUGGGUUAUUUUUGAGAUGAAAGCUUCACUUGACCCUAAACCAAACUUCUGCCUUCAUUUUUGACCCUUGAGGCAUUAGAUGCUUUACUAUCCGCUAUGGUGAGAGGGUCUACUGCUGUUCUGUCAUUUCUCUGAACUCUCCUGUGGCUGCCACCCUUGCCAAAUCCUUUUUUAUUCUUUUAUGUAUGGUGAUCUUCUCUGGCAAAGCAAGCUAUCCAGUGUUUUGUGCCCUUUCAUAGUUCUAGAAGGCUUGUUUUAAUAGGAGGGGUGUAUUCCCAAAGUUUAUUCACAAAAUAGAAGAGAAAACCUACUUGAGUAAAAUUCCAACCCUUUGGCUCCCAAAUUUAUUUUUAUCUAACUGAAAAAAAAAACAGUGGCUCUUAAUCAUUUUAUAAUCAUCGAUUUAACCCCAAAAUUUAUUUGCACAUCAGAUUUUGGUGCAUAAAAAAAGAAAAAUUAAGGUACCUGGUAAAUGUAGACAUUGUUAAAUGACCAAAGAUCUCAUUCUUUGGGCCAGGUGGGGAAGAUGUAAUUCUUAGUCACAAAAACACAAAAUAUGAGAGCAGAAAAGUACCUAACCUCUAGUUCAAGCCCUCUGUUGUUUAGAUUAGAAACUGGGACCCCUGAAAGGUUAUAUGGCGUGUCCAAUAUCAUACAACUUUUAGUGGGAGAGCUAAGACAAGGACUCAAGUCAUCUCAAGCCCUGUGUUCUGUAUCCUAAAUGAUAUUGCCACUGUAUGGGAUUUUAUUUUAAGUAGAUCUUCCAUCCAGACCUAAGAAGUCAUUUUUUCAUCUCAUUCAUUUGCUGCUAAUACCAUUAACUAGAGCAGAAGGACCUCCCCAACUCCCAAUAUGCACACACACCAAAAUUGCCUGCCAAAGAAUUCAUCAGCCUCCUGUCUGUAGGCAAGACUACACUUUGACCUAGGGAGAAAAAGACUUAGAAACCUAAACACUCAUGACAAUAGAAUGCAUAGUAGACUAGGGCUAUAAUCCAAUUACUCUAGGAUGGGGAAUGGGGCUGGUCUAGUUUAUAUAACUGCCAAAUCAUACAUGUGGACUUGUCAGGUUCAUUAAAAUCAGCCUAGCAUGCACACCUUUGAGACACACCCAGGUCACUCAAUGAAGUGCAGCUGGACCAUGUUAAAAGCAAACCUUGUAUUAUGUAUGACACUAUUUAUAUAAUAUUUAAAUUAGGAGUAAAUAUUCACUUUACCAAAAAAGGCUGAAUAUUAGAUGCAUUGAAUUGUCAACCGUCCUUGGUUUAUUGUCAAAGUAUUCUUAGGUUUAUGACCAUCUGAUUGACUUGCACCUUUUCAGGAAUGCAUCUAAUAUGCAAAGAGAGGUUUACUUUAGAAGUGAAUCACUAACUAAACUGUAUAUGGUUCCUUUAAAUGAACUUAAGGAUGUUCAAAGUAAGACUUAGUCUUCCUUACCAAUGGUGUCCUUUAAAACAGAUCACAAUGAUUUGCUGAACAUUAGAAGACUGCAGCAAUAUAUGUCUCUCUUUUUUUUUUAGCUUGGGACUAGUUUUGAAGUGCUCUUAAUAUGUUUUCUGCAAUGAGCUCUGUUGAAUCACCUUUUCCUCAACGCUGAAAUUGGCAAGUUAAUAAGGUGCAAGAAGUAAUUCUGCAUCUGUGUUGUUCCCUGGUCACCUUCUCUCAGAAAAAUAUAUGCUUCCAAUUGAUCUUCUUCUGAUGCAGAUGCUGUGGCCAUUCUCUUGUGACUGCUCUCACCCCUCAGGCUGGUGAGGUUGGUCAUCUUUACCAGCAAUUUCUAGCAGAUUAGCUGGUAAUGUUUAUAAAUCCUUAAUCUGAUUUCAUGAUACUUCGAAGCAAAUACUUUUUCUAAAGAAUUGCUUCUCUUGGAUACAGUUACACUUUUGCAAGUUUGAAAAUUUUAGGUCACUUUUGAUUAGAUAGAUCUUUCUAAAACCUGUUUGAGACAACACCUUAACAUCAUUUCAAAAAGGAGAAGAGAAGGCAACUCUUCCAGGCUAUAUGCUUUUGUAAACACUUUCCUGAUCGGCAAGAAGGAUGCUGAAAGGAAAAUCAGUCUUAUUUCACCAACCUAACUGUGCCCCCCAUGCAAAAUAUGUCUGGAACAAAUCGAGUUUUUACAAAUUACCUACUCUUUCUCAUCAGUGCUUGUUUACUCUACCCCGUUGUUUUUCCUGUGUAUCUGAUGCCUGGAUGUUGCCUUUGCUCUCUGUUUUUUCCCCCAUACAUUAAAAAAAAACAACCCACAAUGUUGUUCUUUCUGAUGAAAUGGACAUUUUAUUUUAAGGAACCAGAUGCUUCUCACUGCUGGGAAAUUGUUAGUGUUCUCUUACAAAAACAUUUCUAAUAUAAUAAUAAUAAUAGUUUGUUUUACUAAAACAGAGAAAAAAUAUUUCAGUCAGAGUAAUUCUGCCCAUGAUAAGAGCUACUGAAAAUCUUGUAGUAAAAGAAAGAUUGCUUGGUUGGGGGGUGUGGGGUAGGUAUAAAAGCAAUCAUUGCUUUUUCAGAUGCUAUCAAGGAGGCAAUGGGUAACACCUAGAAUCAUUCUUUACUAUAGUUUGAAUUUUAACUUGUCCCGGUUUCAUUUAUGAUGAAUUCAGCAGAUUUAUAUAGAAAUACUCUCUAAGAUAACUAAUAUAUGUGCAGUUCUAAAUUCAACCGAAAUGCUUAUUUUAAGAUGCUUCAGAUCUUUGGGUGAUGAUGGUUCCCAUUAGACUGCAUUGUUCCCUAACAUGUCUCCCACAACUCCUGUUGAUGAACUGUCAUUAUCUGUUUUAAAAGCUGGCAUUCAAAAUGAUUUCACUCCCUCUAAUCAUUAUGAUUUUUAUUUAACUCCAGGGAGCAAGACAAGAGGAGAUAUUCAAAUAUUGUUCUACCCUUGGAAAUGAAUUUGUUAUUCUUAACAUACUUGUCCAGUAAUGUGUGUGAUUUCUGUGAGUUGCUGACAAAUCUGUGCAUGAUAGCCCUUAAAAUCACUUUUACUUUGGUUUUCUUUUUUAAAAAGAUUAAAAGAAUUUUUUCUUCCCAUUCCCCCUUCUUUGCUUCCAAAAAUAUUCAAACAAGUAUUUGGAAGACUUCCUUUUGAAAAAAGGAAAGAAAGAAAGAAAGAAAAAAUGUGUGUUGUGUCUCCUGUGAAAGUGAAUUGUCUGUCUCCACACUGAGUACUCAAUGCUUGUAUGCAGAGUGAAGAGUUGGCCUGCCAUUCUUUGGGUUGCUGUUCUGUAGAAUUACUGAUCUUCUCCACUUUUCCUGUUGCAAGCAACACAUAUUGCACUCCUAUGCCACUAUAAUCUGCAUCACUGUUGUACUCAGAACAAGUCAAUGAAUAAAGUUUUGUGCUUUAUUCUUAAA